rnacentral:rRNA from 1 species
CAGUCGCCGCGGUAAUGCGUAGGUGGCAAGCGUUGUCCGGAAUUAUUGGGCGUAAAGGGCUCGCAGGCGGUUUCUUAAGUCUGAUGUGAGAGCCCCCGGCUCAACCGGGGAGGGUCAUUGAAAACUGGGAAACUUGAGUGCAGAAGAGGAGAGUGGAAUUCCACGUGUAGCGGUGAAAUGCGUAGAGAUGUGGAGGAACACCAGUGGCGAAGGCGACUCUCUGGUCUGUAACUGACGCUGAGGAGCGAAAGCGUGGGGAGCGAACAGGAUUAGAUACCCCUGUAGUCCCUGUCUCUUAUAC